CCCACGCUGCCGUAUUGGUUUACGGAAAAGAGAUUUUCUCCUGCAUGUUUCACCUCUGUCUAGCUUGCAUAGCUCAUUUUUCACUCAAGGACACACCAUCUCCCUGGACACAUUUUUUACAUAUCACCCCUCAUUUUCUGAUCAGUUUUACCUGGAUAUCAAUGGUCAUGGUGAAAGAAAAAGUGGCACAUGCGCAGGACACACACCAUUCCAAUGAGAAGCCUCUGAUUCAGUGCUACAAGUGUGGGGAGCCAUGUAAGGGUGAGGUGCUGCGGGUCCAGUCCAAGCACUUCCACCUGAAGUGCUUCACCUGUAAAGUGUGUGGCUGUGACUUGGCUCAGGGAGGCUUCUUCAUGAAAAAUGGAGACUACCUGUGUACCCUGGACUACCAGCGAAUGCACGGUACACGCUGCAACGGCUGUAGGGACUUUGUGGAGGGAGAGGUGGUCACUGCCCUAGGCAAGACUUACCACCCUGCCUGCUUUGUCUGCACCAUCUGCAAACGACCAUUUCCUGCUGGGGAUAGGGUCACCUUCAAUGGCAAAGAUUGUCUGUGUCAGUACUGUGUCCAGCCCACGUCCCCAGGACCUGGCAAAGACCUCAUGGACUCCAACUGAUGGUGCCUUCAGAAGCUUUGCAAUUUGGGUCAGGUUAUCAGGAUGUGUAAUGUGCUAUAUAAGUGCACAUUGAUUACAAAUUGUGUUAAAGGACUCACUCCCUGCCAUCCUGGCCCACAGCCACUGCUCCUGUGUUGCUGGGACUACUUUGUGCAACCACACAGUUGCACUGCUCUACUAGUCAACACAUUACUCUCAAUUUGGGAUUGGUGCAUUCCCCCAUCCAUAGUUGCACCGAGAGUGAGCAGAGGUGGCAAAAGCCAAAAACAAUGGUAAGGCUGUGUGGAUGGUUAUUGAAGGCUAAUAUGAAUAAUAUAAAUUGGUGAUGUGAUUGUGAUGAUCUAAGUGCCCCUUUGUAUUCCAAGGGUGUGAAGCCAGGCACUGUUAGCAGGAUGGUGUUCCUAUCAGCAAGACCCAAAGAGAGAAUAAUGGUUGAAGGAGUGAGGAGUACCUUCUAUAGAGGUGUAACCUGGGAGCUGCCUGACCUCUGUCCUCCAUGUGGAAGAGGUGUACAGGGACUUUACCAAUGCUACAGCCCCUUUGGUCAUUCCAUUGGACAUAUCCACUGAGGUCCAGUUAGUGGAUUCUGCCAUUGGUGAAGUCCGGGCUGGCUGCUGCUACAACAACUCGCAACAUCACUUCGCAUGAAGACAGAAUCCUCAGGGGAACUCGUCAGUCUGCAGAGAUGAAGAGAGGUCUGGAGAUGAAUUCUGCUGCUGUGGAGGAAUACUAUGUUCUCCAGAAUGUCAACUGUUACCCCCAUGGGCAUCAACAGAGACUGCCAAAUUUGGGAAGCAAUCAACAAGAAGGCUGACCAUUUAUUUGUUUACUCUUACUUGCAGAGAUGCCUAAUGAUCUCCUAUGUCAAAUGUUAAAAGAUUAAAAACAUUUUUGUACUGUGAA